GCUGGACAUGCCAGAACUGUAGAAAUGGUGGUGUGUGAUGUUAAUGGAGAACUAUGGGCUGGAUAGCCACGGAAAGGUUAUUGCACACUUCACUGAGGAGUCUAAAGGUGCACUAAGGGGUGACUGGCAGUCUGUUUUGGUAAAGGAAGAUAGAGGACACCUUUCAGGUAAAAGCAUUUCCUUGAGAAAAUGACACUUAAAAUGUCACGGUACCUUGUGAAUGUUUGCUUCUACUGUGGUGUUUGUAACAGGAGGAGCCACAACAUUGGGUUCAAGAAUCAUCAUCACAGGCAGAUGAUGCAAGUAUAAAUGUGUUGGAGGAUGUACUGCUUGAAUCAUCACUUGAAAGAGAGAGUUUUAAAGGAAGCCAGCAGCAAGCGGUGUUUGGAGCAGUCAAGUGUGCUGCUUGGUUCUGUUCAGCUGCCCAAAGUACUCUAUAUGGAGGAUGAAGAUGUUGAUGAGGACUUGGACAAAUUACAGAAGGCUGAAUUUUCGGAGGACAGAAUGGUUGCUCUGGAAACUUUCAGCUUUUUCUUCAUUGAGAAAUUACUGACA